AGAAUUCGGAACACCUUCGACAACCUUUGGGAAUAGGUUUUUCGCCGAUGUCGGUAUACCGCACUUCGUGGAUCUCGAAAAUAAACGGGCCGCUGGACUGGAACCUAUUUUAUUGGUAAACGUUUAGCGAUCUUCACGGCUGCCUCCGCUUUCCCGUUAGAUUGCUGGUGAUGAGGAGAUGAUGUAGUGUGCUGAAAAUCCCAUUCGAUGGCGAAUUCUUCCAUCUUUCGGCAAACGAAGCGGCUAUAACUGAUUCAGGUUUCAAAUCUUUCAAGAUAUUAACUUCAAAGUAAUCCGAGUAAUGGUCAACUGUCAUCAGAAAUGCUCUCUUAGUUCCUUGGUAAUCAGAGAAAACACAUCCAUGGAAACAAAUUGAAAAGGGUACACUGGAAUGCCGUGAGUCAUCAUAGGCGGAUUGGACUGAGAUGCAGCAAAUUUAGCACAUGUUGCACACGACUGGAUAGCUUCUUUUAUCUGAGCACUCAUUCCUGGCCAAAAGACAUUCGCUCGAGCCAGCUUCAACGUAGCUUCAAUUCCGUUAUGACUUGCGUGACAAAUAUCAAUGAGCUUCCUGCGCAAAGGUUGCGGUACCAGGAUUCUAUCGUUCCGGAAAAUAAGUCCGUCUUGGGUGGACAGCUCUUGCGAGUAACGAAAAUAAAUCUUCACACUAU